GACGAACGCUGGCGGCGUGCUUAACACAUGCAAGUCGAACGGACGGACUCGAUAGCUUGCUAUUGAGAAAGUUAGUGGCAAACGGGUGAGUAACGCGUAGGCAACCUGCCCUUCAGAUGGGGACAACACUUCGAAAGAGGUGCUAAUACCGAAUGACGUAUCCAUUCCGCAUGGAGAGGAUACCAAAAGGCCCGGGGCAAACCGGGUUCACUGAAGGAUGGGCCUGCGUCUGAUUAGCUAGUUGGUGGGGUAACGGCCCACCAAGGCGACGAUCAGUAGCCGGUCUGAGAGGAUGAACGGCCACAUUGGGACUGAGACACGGCCCAAACUCCUACGGGAGGCAGCAGUGGGGAAUCUUCCGCAAUGGGCGCAAGCCUGACGGAGCAACGCCGCGUGAGUGAAGAAGGUUUCGGAUCGUAAAGCUCUGUUGAGAGGGACGAGAGGCAAGGCUAGGAAAUGAGCUUUGUAGGACGGUACCUUUCGAGGAAGCCACGGCUAACUACGUGCCAG
rnacentral:rRNA from 1 species